rnacentral:lncRNA from 1 species
UUUUUGAUUUUUUUUUCCCAGUAUAUUUUAUGUAAUUGUUGUAAUUAAAUAUAUUUAAAAAAAACUUAAUUAUAGUGUUUUUUAUAAAAAUGGAUUAUUUAUAUCUAAAUAAUUAUAAAAUUAAAAUUAAAAUUUAAUACAUACAAUCUAAAAUAAUUAUAUUUUUUAAAAUUUUAUUAUAAUUAAAACACAAACUUAUGAAUUUACAAUCUGAACCCGAACGGGCUGGUUUUAUCCGAGCUAAACGGAUAUGGAUUCGGUUGUGGGUACAGAAAAUAUAAACGGAGCGGAUAUGGAUAUGGGUAUGGAUUUUGUAUUUACCUGAUUCAAAACCAAUCACGGCCCGAAUCCGACCCCGAGCCCGAAUAAAUUAUAUAUAUAUAUAUAUAAUUUAUUUUAAUUUAUUUAUAUAAUAUAUAAAAUGUUGAAUAAUUUUUCUCUCUUAGAUCUUUAUUUAAUGGUAUGAAUUUUUAAAACUUGCUGGGUUCAAGUCCAGGUUUGGGUUUUGGACUUUUUUAUUAGAUACAGAUAUGGGCAUGGAAUUUUAAAACUUACCGAGUUUGAGUUCGGAAUCGGAUUUUAAAUUGGUUUUCGGGUUCGGAUACAUCUCAUUCCAUUCCUUCAAUUUUUCUCCUUUUUUAAUUUUAUUCUAUGCACAUAUAUACUCAAAUAUUCCU